rnacentral:rRNA from 1 species
GGGAACUACGAGCUAAGCUUAAAACCCAAAGGACUUGACGGUACCCUACAUCCUCCUAGAGGAGCCUGUCCCAUAAUCGAUAAUCCCCGCUUAACCUCACCACUUUUAGCCAAUCAGCCUGUAUACUUCCGUCGUCAGCUUACCGCAUGAGCGCAUACUCCGUAAGCCCAAUGUUAAUACAUCAAUACGUCAGGUCAAAGUGCAGCAAAUAAAGUGGGAAAAAGAUGGGCUACACUUUCUACAGUAGAAGAUACGAAAGAUUAAUGUGAAACCUUAAUCAGAAGGUGGAUUUAGUAGUAAAAAGGAAAUAGAAUAUUCUUUUUAAUUUGGCACUGGGGUGUGUACAUACCGCCCGUCACCCUCUUCAUUAAAUAACAACUAGUAAAUAACAAGCUUUCCCCAAAGAAGAAGAGGCAAGUCGUAACAUGGUAAGUGUAUCUGAAGAUGCACUUGGAAACGAAAUAUAGCUUAACCAAAGCCUCUCGCUUACAA